UUAAAUUGAAGAGUUUGAUCAUGGCUCAGAUUGAACGCUGGCGGCAGGCCUAACACAUGCAAGUCGAACGGUAACAGGAAGCAGCUUGCUGCUUUGCUGACGAGUGGCGGACGGGUGAGUAAUGUCUGGGAAACUGCCUGAUGGAGGGGGAUAACUACUGGAAACGGUGGCUAAUACCGCAUAAUGUCGCAAGACCAAAGAGGGGGACCUUCGGGCCUCUUGCCAUCAGAUGUGCCCAGAUGGGAUUAGCUUGUUGGUGAGGUAACGGCUCACCAAGGCGACGAUCCCUAGCUGGUCUGAGAGGAUGACCAGCCACACUGGAACUGAGACACGGUCCAGACUCCUACGGGAGGCAGCAGUGGGGAAUAUUGCACAAUGGGCGCAAGCCUGAUGCAGCCAUGCCGCGUGUAUGAAGAAGGCCUUCGGGUUGUAAAGUACU
rnacentral:rRNA from 1 species